UACAGGGGAUGCAAGUGUUAUCCGGAAUUAUUGGGCGUAAAGCGUCUGCAGGGUGAUUUAUCAGUCUUUUGUGAAAUCUCUAGGCUUAACCUAGAACCUGCAAAAGAAACUAUUUAUCUAGAGUCUAGUAGAGGUAAAGGGAAUUUCCAGUGGAGCGGUGAAAUGCGUAGAGAUUGGAAAGAACACCAAGAGCGAAGGCACUUUACUGGGCUAUGACUGACACUCAGAGACGAAAGCUAGGGGAGCAAACAGG
rnacentral:rRNA from 1 species